CUACGGGCCGCUCCAGUGGGGAAUAUUGCACAAUGGGCGCAAGCCUGAUGCAGCCAUGCCGCGUGUAUGAAGAAGGCCUUCGGGUUGUAAAGUACUUUCAGCGGGGAGGAAGGGAGUAAAGUUAAUACCUUUGCUCAUUGACGUUACCCGCAGAAGAAGCACCGGCUAACUCCGUGCCAGCAGCCGCGGUAAUACGGAGGGUGCAAGCGUUAAUCGGAAUUACUGGGCGUAAAGCGCACGCAGGCGGUUUGUUAAGUCAGAUGUGAAAUCCCCGGGCUCAACCGGGGAACUGCAUCUGAGACUGGCAAGCUUGAGUCUCGUAGAGGGGGGUAGAAUUCCAGGUGUAGCGGUGAUAUGCGUAGAGAUCUGGAGGAAUACCGGUGGCGAAGGCGGCCCCCUGGACGAAGACUGACGCUCAGGUGCGAAAGCGUGGGGAGCAAACAGGAUUAGAUACCCCAGUAGUC
rnacentral:rRNA from 1 species